rnacentral:lncRNA from 1 species
AAUAAAAAUAUAGAAAAUAAACUUUUGAUAUUUUCCCCAGCAGGUAAAUGAAUCCUUACAUGGGGUCUCAUAGUUUAGUAUUGCUGAUAUGGAUGUUGUCAGCUAUUUUUUUUAAUUAUAGACUACACUUAAGAAAAUGUAGCCUAAAAACCACCUUAUCCAUGAAAGUCACCCUUAAAGAUUUAAUAUAACACUAAUAUAAUUGUUUUUAGUGCAUUUAACUUUCUGUAUGGUUUCUUAAAGAACUUGUUUAUUAUCUCUGAUUAAAAUGCUUUACCAGUUGUAAAUCUCUAUCACGUUUUUUUCUUAUGAUGAAUGAAUGCCAAACCGGUGCUUUCUCUAGGGUUUUACCUAAAUCCCAGGGAGUUAGUCAGAGAAGACAAGAAUACUACUAUGGCAAAGAACACUGUUCAGGAAAGCAAAUCAAGAUUCCAACCUCCCUAUUCCUCUGUACUUAAAGUACUUUCUUUAAGAGUAUAAGUGGUCAAGAGUCCACCAUAAGACCAUAUAUGUCCCUCAUUUAUUAUUUUGCUUACUGAAAUGGGAGGUAUCUGAAUUAGAUUUAUUACAUGAUUCUAAAACGAGGUAAUCUAUAAUUAUGAAUUAUAGAAUGCAAAGAAACAUCGUUGAAGGCUGCAGCCAAUUAGUAGAAUAAAGAGAUUUGAAUAUAAACAUAAAAUUAUGUACAGUAGGAAAGCACUUUCUCUAAUAGCAAGUUUAUAGUCUUCCACAAACUAGCUGAGAACAAUUGUAGAUGAAUGAGGAGAUAUGUG